AGAACAAAGCAUCAUCUGGAGUACUGUGCCAAAUUUGGUGCACCACAUUUCAAAGAAGAUUGGAAUAAAUCCAAAAGAAAGUAGAAUUGGUCAGCAGCAGUGUCCUUGAAGAAGUGGAAUUAAAAGAAGGAAAAAAGAAGCAGCAGCAUUCUUGUUGGUUACCAAUGAGGGAAGAGACACAGAGGACACCCUAAGAAAAGUAGUACCACAGAAAGGAAGGAAGGCAUGAGACAAAGGCAUCAGAAGGAGAAACAGAAUCAGAAAGUUGGUAAGAAGAAGUGCAAAAAUUAAUUCGAAAAGCCUUCACAAAACAAGAGAGAAGGAAAAAAAAUCUAGCAUGAAAAAUCUAGCAUCUAGGGAUGAAAAGCAAAAAGAGCAAAAAGUUUGGAAAAG